AUUAAUUAUAUACAUAGAAACUGAUAAGUUUUCAUAUAAAUAUAUAGCGAAUUUUCAAACUGACAUAUUGCAAGUCUUAUGAAGUUUGGAAAAUGGCGUCAAAGUCAGUUGUAACCUUCGCUCUCCUCGCAUGCGUAUUGACUUUGACGACUGAUGCUGCAGUCAUAACUAGACGUUAUGUAGAAUAUUAUCCCAAUGUUCCCGAUACUAAUAUCGGACCAAACACUUCGAAUAACCAACUUAUAGCCGAAGAUUCUGCAGUGAACAACAUUGGACAAGGUUUUGCUUUAGGAGUAUAGUUAACAGGAACUUUGUACACGCUGUACAAACGAAUGGUACAAUUAACUGUUUUACAAAGCUAAUAAAUGUUCAAUUUUUA